rnacentral:rRNA from 1 species
GAUCAUGGCUCAGGAUGAACGCUAGCGGCAAGCUUAAUACAUGCAAGUCGAGGGGCAGCAUGACUGUAGCAAUACAGUUGAUGGCGACCGGCAAACGGGUGCGGAACACGUACAGAACCUUCCUUCGAGCGGGGAAUAGCCCAGAGUAAAUUUGGAUUAAUACCCCAUAGUAUAUUGGAGUGGCAUCACUUUGAUAUUAAAGAUUUAUCACUUGAAGAUGGCUGUGCGGCUGAUUAGAUAGUUGGCGGGGUAACGGCCCACCAAGUCUGCGAUCAGUAACUGGUGUGAGAGCACGACCAGUCACACGGGCACUGAGACACGGGCCCGACUCCUACGGGAGGCAGCAGUAAGGAAUAUUGGUCAAUGGACGAAAGUCUGAACCAGCUAUGCCGCGUGGAGGAUGAAGGCCCUCUGGGUUGUAAACUUCUUUAUAUGGGACGAAAAGGGCCUUUCUAGGUCAACUGACGGUACCAUGUGAAUAAGCACCGGCUAACCCGUG